rnacentral:rRNA from 1 species
UGGGGAAUUUUCCGCAAUGGGCGCAAGCCUGACGGAGCAAGACCGCGUGCGGGAUGAAGGCCUUCGGGUUGUAAACCGCUGUCGUAGAGGAGGAAGUGCAGGAGGGUUCUCCCUUCUGUUUGACCUAUUCUAGGAGGAAGUACGGGCUCAGUUCGUGCCAGCAGCCGCGGUCAGACGGAGGAUGCAAGCGUUAUCCGGAAUUAUUGGGCGUAAAGCGUACGUAGGCGGCUUAUCAAGCCUGGGGUUAAC